rnacentral:rRNA from 1 species
GAGACACGGUCCAGACACCUACGGGUGGCAGCAGUCGAGAAUCAUUCACAAUGGGGGAAACCCCGAUGGUGCGAACGCCGCGUGAGGGAAUGAAGGUCUUCGGAUUGUAAACCCCUGUCAUGUGGGAGCAAAUUAAAAAGAUAGUACCACAAGAGGAAGAGACGGCUAACUCUGUGCCAGCAGCCGCGGUAAUACAGAGGUCUCAAGCGUUGUUCGGAAUCACUGGGCGUAAAGCGUGCGUAGGCGGUUUCGUAAGUCGUGUUGUGAAAGGCGGGGGCUCAACCCCCGGACUGCACAUGAUACUGCGAGACUAGAGUAAUGGAGGGGGAACCGGAAUUCUCGGUGUAGCAGUGAAAUGCGUUAGAUAUCGAGAGGAACACUCGUGGCGAAGGCGGGUUCCUGGACAUUAACUGACGCUGAGGCACGAAGGCCAGGGGAGCGAAAAGGAUCCGAUACCCCUGUAGUCCUGGCAGUGACCGGUGCACGUUUGGUGUGCGGGGAAUUGACCCCCUGCGUGCCGGAGCUAACGCGUUAAGCGUCCCGCCUGGGGAGUACGGUCGCAAGAUUAAAACUCAAAGAAAAUGACGGGGACCCGCACAAAGCGGUGGAGUAUGUGGCUUAAUUCGAUGCAACGCGAAGAACCUUACCUGGGCUUGACAUGUAAUGAACAACAUGUGAAAGCAUGCGACUCUUCGGAGGCGUUACACAGGUGCUGCAUGGCCGUCGUCAGCUCGUGUCGUGAGAUGUUUGGUUAAGUCCAGCAACGAGCGCAACCCCUGUUGCCAGUUACCAGCACGUAAAGGUGGGGACUCUGGCGAGACUGCCCAGAUCAACUGGGAGGAAGGUGGGGACGACGUCAGGUCAGUAUGGCCCUUAUGCCCAGGGCUGCACACGUACUACAAUGCCCAGUACAGAGGGGGCCGAAGCCGCGAGGCGGAGGAAAUCCUAAAAACUGGGCCCAGUUCGGACUGUAGGCUGCAACCUGCCUACACGAAGCCGGAAUCGCUAGUAAUGGCGCAUCAGCUACGGCGCCGUGAAUACGUUCCCGGGUCUUGCACA